ACGUAGGGGGCAAGCGUUGUCCGGAUUUACUGGGCGUAAAGCGCGCGUAGGCGGAACGUUAAGUCCGGUCUGAAAGCCCCCGGCUCAACCGGGGAGGGUGGCUGGAAACUGGCGUUCUUGAGGGCGAUAGAGAAGAGUGGAAUUCCUGGUGUAGUGGUGAAAUGCGUAGAGAUGCGGAGGAACACCAGUGGCGAAAGCGGUCACCUGGCGAACCCCUGACGCUCAGACACGAAAGCUAGGGGAGCGAACGGGA
rnacentral:rRNA from 1 species